ensembl:rRNA 5S_rRNA 5S ribosomal RNA
AAAAGCAGCCAGAUCGCCCUGCAACUCACAACUGGCAGCCCACUGAAGCUAAGCAGGUGUGAGCCUGGUCAGUACCUGGAUGGGAGACCUCCUGGGAAAAACUAAGGUUGCUGCUGGAA